UACGAAGGGGGCUAGCGUUGUUCGGAUUUACUGGGCGUAAAGCGCACGUAGGCGGAUCGUUAAGUCGGGGGUGAAAUCCUGGAGCUCAACUCCAGAACUGCCUUCGAUACUGGCGAUCUUGAGUCCGGAAGAGGUGAGUGGAACUCCUAGUGUAGAGGUGGAAUUCGUAGAUAUUAGGAAGAACACCAGUGGCGAAGGCGGCUCACUGGUCCGGUACUGACGCUGAGGUGCGAAAGCGUGGGGAGCAAACCGG
rnacentral:rRNA from 1 species